ensembl:lncRNA
GGAAGACACUGUAUCUCGAUGUAGAGCUGAGGAACUGGAACCAUCCGUGAAUGUUACAGCUGGAAGGUUUGAAGCCACUGCUGGUUAAAACACCACAUAGAUUCCCUUUCUUGAGUGUCUGGAGACAGGCUACUGUCGAUCCAGUAGGACAGCGAUUUCUUUACUCCCUAUGCAGUUGAAACUCCACGGCUUUGAUCAUAUUUCAUGACAGCACAUUGCUGAGGACUGGAGGGGCAUGAGCAGGAGCAGCGUGGAGGAGGGCUGGACAAGCAGGGUGCAAUAUGCCAUGAAACAGCUGUGUGUGGAGUCCGUAUGGGACACAGCUGGAAGCUACCUUAAUCUACUAGAGGCUCUUGAAUCAAUCAAGUCGACCAUCAACAUCAACUAUGAUGUCAGAUUCCAGGGAAGAC